GACGAACGCUGGCGGCGUGCCUAAUACAUGCAAGUAGAACGCUGAAGGAGGAGCUUGCUUCUCUGGAUGAGUUGCGAACGGGUGAGUAACGCGUAGGUAACCUGCCUGGUAGCGGGGGAUAACUAUUGGAAACGAUAGCUAAUACCGCAUAAUAGCAGUUGUUGCAUGAUAACUGUUUGAAAGGUGCAAUUGCACCACUACCAGAUGGACCUGCGUUGUAUUAGCUAGUUGGUGGGGUAACGGCUCACCAAGGCGACGAUACAUAGCCGACCUGAGAGGGGGAUCGGCCACACUGGGACUGAGACACGGCCCAGACUCCUACGGGAGGCAGCAGUAGGGAAUCUUCGGCAAUGGACGGAAGUCUGACCGAGCAACGCCGCGGGAGUGAAGAAGGUUUUCGGAUCGUAAAGCUCUGUUGUAAGAGAAGAACGAGUGUGAGAGUGGAAAGUUCACACUGUGACGGUAUCUUACCAGAAAGGGACGGCUAACUACGUG
rnacentral:rRNA from 1 species